UAAAAACCUUUCAUACACUUGCACCAAAGGAUUUAAGUUUCAAAGCGAGUGCUCACUCAUUUGCCCUCCUGGAUUUGACAUGCAAUUACAGAGCAGAGUGAAACUAUGUAGAGAUGAUGGACGAUGGCAGGGAUCGUUCCCACAAUGCUUUGAUAUAUCAAAACUAAAGAUAGAAAAUUGCAAUCCCUUUGUCGAUGGUACAGCGGAUAUAAAUUCUACUAAAGGAAAAAUAUAUUGGGAUGAACCAGUUCUAUAUGAUAAUGAAGACAAUGACAUUAUCUUACACAAGUCUGAAAAUAUUUCCCCUGGGGACGUUAUAGAGACUGGAACACGUCAAAUAAUAUAUACUGCUGAAGACAGGACGGGCAAUAAGGCAACACCAUGCAUAGUUACACUUUCAAUGAAAAAAUUGGGUCUGCAUUGGUUGGACCCAACAUCACGAACUGUGUCAAAAGUAUGAAUGGAAAGUAUGCCUACUGGGAUUUUGGAAAAACACAGCCCCACUGAGAAUGUAAGAUUGGUU